UACGAAGGGGGCUAGCGUUGCUCGGAAUUACCGGGCGUAAAGGGCGCGUAGGCGGAUUGUUAAGUCAGGGGUGAAAUCCUGGAGCUCAACUCCAGAACUGCCUUUGAUACUGGCGAUCUUGAGUUCGGGAGAGGUGAGUGGAACUGCGAGUGUAGAGGUGAAAUUCGUAGAUAUUCGCAAGAACACCAGUGGCGAAGGCGGCCGACUGGUCCGGUUCUGGACGCUGAGGCGCGAAAGCGUGGGGAGCAAACAGG
rnacentral:rRNA from 1 species